GGCUCGCCCUCCCCUCGCCGCCUAAGCCUUCCCUCCGCGAACCGGCUCCCCUCCCCACAGCAACACGGCUUCCCUUCCUCAGCUCAGCGACAGGGGCUUGCCCUCAGCCGCCGCCGCCGCCGGCCAAGCCCCGCCGCGCCCGCGGCCCGCGGCCGCCAUGCAGUUUAUGUUGCUUUUUAGUCGUCAGGGAAAGCUUCGACUGCAGAAAUGGUAUGUCCCAUUAUCAGACAAAGAGAAGAAAAAGAUCACAAGAGAACUUGUUCAAACCGUUUUAGCACGGAAACCUAAAAUGUGCAGCUUUCUUGAAUGGCGAGAUCUGAAAAUUGUUUACAAAAGAUAUGCCAGUCUGUAUUUUUGCUGUGCUAUUGAGGAUCAGGACAAUGAACUAAUUACCCUGGAAAUAAUUCAUCGUUAUGUGGAAUUACUUGACAAGUAUUUUGGCAGUGUGUGUGAACUUGAUAUCAUCUUUAAUUUUGAGAAGGCUUAUUUUAUUUUGGAUGAGUUUCUUUUGGGAGGGGAAGUUCAGGAAACAUCCAAGAAAAAUGUCCUUAAAGCAAUUGAGCAGGCUGAUCUACUGCAGGAGAGCCAGAAUGAAGAAUGGGGAGGUUUGUCUGAGGAUAUCUUAUGAUAAAGAGCAGUCUAAGGCUUUAGUCCCUUUGAUCCCCAACUUAUUUAUUGGAUGCAAAAGAAGCUGAAACCCCACGUAGUGUUCUUGAAGAAAUUGGACUGACAUAACUCUCCUCCCCUGUUGAUGACUUCUUGUGGCAUUUCACACACUGUAGAUGGUCACUGCCUUCAUGUCCAUGUUAGCUAAUGGUGUAAGAUGACGUCUUGUCAGUAUUACUGUUCUGCUAAGCUGCUUCAUUCAGGCCUACACGAUUUUUUUUUAAAGGGAACUUUGGUUAAUCAAGCGAUAACAAGGGACUUACAUAGGAAUUAGAAUAAAUGCAGAAAAAGAAAAGUAACUUUUCUUCCUGUUUUAAAGUUUAUAGGUCUCUCUCUUAAUCUGAUUAUGUGCAUCUAUGAAAAUGACAAGAUCAGGCAAUUUAUUACUUACUGUCUUUGGCAAAAGAAACUUAAAUUAUGUGAAACCUGAUUUUAUGAAACCAAAGACCAGUGCCACAUUUCAGUAUAUAUGAGAAUAAAGGGAAUUGACAUGUCACAUAUCAAAUGAAGGAAAAUUUCACUGUAUGUUGAAACUUUAAAGAAAAAUAAAUUUAUACCAAAGACCCUUAUUAGAAACUAAAUACCUUAAAACAAAGGGAAUACACAAAAGACUAAAAUGGAAUGAUGCUGUUUUACACUAAAAAUUGUUUAAAAGACUUCUGAACCUGGGACGGGGAACAGAGAUCAGCUGUUUCAGUAAUAGUAAGUAUGUUAUUUUUAAGGCCAAGGAAUAUUAGACUCCUGAGAUAAAUUUUUUGUGGUCAUAAUCAUUUAGUCACUUAGUUGGAUUAUUUUUGAUGCCCCCAAAAUAAAACAAAUGUUGAGUUACCAGGGAUUUUUAGUAACAGUUUCUUAUGAUAAGUGUGUUAUUCUCUUCACAAAGUGUUGCAUAAGUCAUUGUUUAAAGCAAGGGUGCUUGUUAUAGCCAAAUUUAUUUUGCUCCCCUAUUGCUUCUCUCCACUUAGAAAUAGAGCAAACUUUAGGGCAGCUUCCUUCCCUUCCAUGACACUGUCUACUUAUCAGAAGUCAUAAACACCACCUUUCAUACGAAAGUUGAGUUGAAUGAGAUAAAAUGGCAUUAGUGGGCCCUAUAUUUUUUAAGGCUAUACAGUUGUUUCAGUGUCACUUUUAUACAUACUUCUAUAUAUGUAAACAUGUCUUCACAGUUUACACUUUCAUUUGUAUGCUGGACUGGAUUAAGCUUUGUUGUGAUUGUGACCAAUAUUCAGGCCACGUGAGCAUUGUCUUAUGACAUCGCAAAUUAGUUAUAAUAAAUGUUCAACGUACACCACUGCAGUGUGUUUUUAUCUGUCUCUUUCCAAGUUUGUCAAACUAUAAAGAGCUAAAGGAAGAAUCUAAAAAAUUUUUUGAGUAAAAUGUUGAAAAUUCACCUCCAUUUGAAUGUGGCGGUGGUUAAAAGCACACACAAGAUAAAUGGUGGAAGAUUGAAGGAAUCUUCGUGUACUUCAAGCUCAUUAAAAAAUAAUGUGGAGUCCAUGCUACUUAUCUACACAUUUAUUUUCAAUCAAUAAAUGCUGCUUUUAAAACCUUGA